UGGAAGAUUGAGAGGGGCUGCUCCUAGUACGAGAGGACCGGAGUGGACGCAUCACUGGUGUUCGGGUUGUCAUGCCAAUGGCAUUGCCCGGUAGCUAAAUGCGGAAAAGAUAAGCGCUGAAAGCAUCUAAGCGCGAAACUUGCCUCGAGAUGAGUCUUCCCUGAGACCUUGAGUCUCCUAAAGGAACGUUUAAGACUAAGACGUUGAUAGGCUGGGUGUGUAAGCGUAGCGAUACGUUGAGCUAACCAGUACUAAUGAUCCGUGAGGCUUAACCUU
rnacentral:rRNA from 1 species